rnacentral:rRNA from 1 species
GAUCAGGCCUAACACAUGCAAGUCGAGGGGCAGCAUAGAGUAGCAAUACUUUGAUGGCGGCCGGCGCACGGGUGAGUAACACGUAUGCAACCUACCUACAUCAGGGGAAUAACCCGGAGAAAUUCGGACUAAUACCGCAUAACACAGGGGUCCCGCAUGGGAAUAUUUGUUAAAGAUUUAUCGGAUGUAGAUGGGCAUGCGUUCCAUUAGGUAGUUGGUAGAGUAACGGCCUACCAAGCCCACGAUGGAUAGGGGAACUGAGAGGUUUGUCCCCCACACUGGAACUGAGACACGGACCAGACUCCUACGGGAGGCAGCAGUGAGGAAUAUUGGUCAAUGGUCGAGAGACUGAACCAGCCAAAUCGCGUGAAGGAAGACUGCCUUAUGGGUUGUAAACUUCUUUUUUACAGGAAUAAAAGACAUUACGUGUAAUGUAUUGCAUGUACUGUAAGAAUAAGCAUCGGCUAACUCCGUGCCAGCAGCCGCGGUAAUACGGAGGAUGCGAGCGUUAUCCGGAUUUAUUGGGUUUAAAGGGUGCGCAGGCGGGCUUUUAAGUCAGCGGUGAAAUUUCCAGGCUCAACCUGGGCACUGCCGUUGAAACUGGGGGUCUUGAGUACAGAUGAAGUAGGCGGAAUUCGUUGUGUAGCGGUGACAUGCUUAGAUAUAACGAGGAACUCCAAUUGCGUAGGCAGCUUACUAAACUGUUACUGACGCUCAAGCACGAAAGCGUGGGGAUCAAACAGGAUUAGAUACCCUGGUAGUCCACGCCGUAAACGAUGAUUACUAGUUGUUUGCGAUAUACAGCAAGUGGCUAAGCGAAAGCGAUAAGUAAUCCACCUGGGGAGUACGCCGGCAACGGUGAAACUCAAAGGAAUUGACGGGGGCCCGCACAAGCGGAGGAACAUGUGGUUUAAUUCCAUGAUACGCGAGGAACCUUACCCGGGCUUGAAAUGUACUCGAAUAACUUGGAAGCAGGUUAGCCAGCAAUGGCGAGUAUGUAGGUGCUGCAUGGUUGUCGUCAGCUCGUGCCGUGAGGUGUCGGCUUAAGUGCCAUAACGAGCGCAACCCUUAUCGUUAGUUACUAACAGGUCAAGCUGAGGACUCUAGCGAGACUGCCACCGUAAGGUGCGAGGAAGGCGGGGAUGACGUCAAACCAGCACGGCCCUUACGUCCGGGGCGACACACGUGUUACAAUGGGGGGUACAAAGGGGCGCUACCUGGCGACAGGAUGCCAAUCUCAAAAACCUCUCCCAGUUCGGAUCGGAGUCUGCAACUCGACUCCGUGAAGCUGGAUUCGCUAGUAAUCGCGCAUCAGCCAUGGCGCGGUGAAUACGUUCCCGGGCAUUGUACACACCGCCCGUAU